AUACGGGGGGGGCAGGCGUUAUUCGGAAUUAUUGGGCGUAAAGGGCGCGUAGGCGGCUAUUCAAGUGGCGGGUGAAAUCCCUCGGCUUAACCGAGGAACUGCCUGCCAGACUGGAUGGCUUGAGACCGGGAGAGGUGAGUGGAAUUCCCAGUGUAGCGGUGAAAUGCGUAGAUAUUGGGAGGAACACCAGUGGCGAAGGCGGCUCACUGGACCGGAACUGACGCUGAGGCGCGAAAGCGUGGGGAGCAAACAGGA
rnacentral:rRNA from 1 species